GCCCACCCCUAGGUUCUUCCCUCCCCCCUUCACCAUCCAUCCAUACAUAAUCAUCUGCCUCAGCCCCCUUCUAUGCCUCUACUUCCAAGAGAGUGAGGGCUCUGAACUCUCUCGACUGCGUUCUUGAAUGAGAUGAACAUCAUUGAAGAAUCUUGUGGGCACCUUACUUUAAUAAAAGGUUUUUUUUUCUGAUUGUAAAAUUAAUGUGUUAAGUGCCAAGUUGCCGAAAGCAUCUCCAUUUUAGUCCUCUCCUGCUCCCUUAGGAUAGUAAAACUGAAAAUAAAGCAAACAAGGAUACAGAUAAUACAGACCAUAAAAACAAACAAAAAAACCCACCCUCCCAAUAAUAGCUGAAAGUAGAAUCCUAUUUGAGCUUUGAAUUCUCUGCUUCUUAAUGGCCUUGAUCAUUGUUCUCUGUGUACAUUUGUUGGGCAUUUGUAUAUCUCAUGUGAGUUUGCCUUUAAAUUUCGGGUUUUGCUUUCUUAAGUAAUCAAACAAAUUGCUCUUUUCCUAUGUGAUUUCUUCCCUGUCUUUUCCUAUUAAACAUGAGACCCAUCCCAAUCUAGA
rnacentral:lncRNA from 1 species